rnacentral:tRNA from 2 species
GCGCCCGUAGCUCAGCGGUAGAGCACUCGGCUUUUAACCGAUUGGUCCUGCGUUCAAAUCGCAGCGGGCGCA